CCUACGGGAGGCAGCAGUGGGGGAUAUUGCACAAUGGGGGGAACCCUGAUGCAGCGACGCCGCGUGGGUGAAGAAGCGCCUCGGCGCGUAAAGCCCUGUCAGCAGGGAAGAAAAUGACGGUACCUGAAGAAGAAGCCCCGGCUAACUACGUGCCAGCAGCCGCGGGAAUACGUAGGGGGCACGCGUUAUCCGGAUUUACUGGGUGUAAAGGGGGCGCAGACGGCGAUGCAAGCCAGGAGUGAAAGCCCGGGGCCCAACCCCGGGACUGCUCUUGGAACUGCGUGGCUGGAGUGCAGGAGGGGCAGGCGGAAUGCCUGGUGUAGCGGUGAAAUGCGUAGAUAUCAGGAGGAACACCGGUGGCGAAGGCGGCCUGCUGGACUGCAACUGACGUUGAGGCCCGAAAGCGUGGGGAGCAAACAGGAUUAGAUACCCGGGUAGUC
rnacentral:rRNA from 1 species